rnacentral:lncRNA from 1 species
UUGAUUGAAAUAAAAAUAAGAUUAAGAGGACGAUCUAUAAACAAAUAAAAUUAAUAAAACCAAAGAUUAAACUAUGAUGAAACAUACACCAAUGGUCAAGGAUCUAAAAUAACAAAUAUCCCAAGCUUUGAAGUAUGGCAUUUAAACAAGGACCAAAUUGCAGCAGUGCGUAAAUCACAGGGAAAAUGUAAAAACAAACAAACAGAAUCAAGGCUGAAAAACAAAUCAAUGUAGGAUAAGAGGGACUCGGCGCGCAAUUUAACCAUUCAAAGCUAAAGGGCGCGGAUCCGGGUUGCAAAAUUGGUUGACGCGCGGAUCUCACCCCCCCAACAUUUUGCAGUCAAAAUUAAAAGAAUAAAAAAAAGAAUGGCAAUCUGCCAUUUUCACAAACAGCAAGUCAAAUGUUAGGGAUUCAAUUCGGGGACAUCGCCGAACCACCAUCAAGCUUGAUGGCCGACCAUGCGCAGAAGAGAUGCAAUCAGAGGCCAGAGGUAAGUACCCCCCUUUCUUUACUCGAUUCAUGCAAAAUAUAAGAGAAAAGAAAAGGAAAAAAAUAUUUCAAAAGAAAAAAAAAGAUCUCCAAAAUUAAAAGAAAGAAACUGCAAAACUUGAAUCACCUCUUUUGGUUUUUUCUACUGCUUUUUCAAUAUGCGGGUCCCUUUCUAGGAAAAGAAGAAGAUAAUCCCCCCUUUUACAGUAUUUUCCUUUGGCUUUUAUAGCCAAAUCUAAUGAAAUAACAAAGAAAUCCAAAAUUAUUUUCUUUUUCCAGCUAUACAAUUUACUGGAUUCAGUUAUUCUUAUUUUCUUCUUUCUCGCAGGUUCUAAUGUUGUAUGGAGCAGUGAAGAAGAUGCUGAGGCUGUAGUGCAAGAGGCUUCCAGAGACUCCAAAUGUGCUGGGCCAAUCGGGCUUAUUUUAUUUGGGUUGGAAAUUGGGCUUUAUUUAAAGGACUUAGACUAUUAAUAAAUUUGGGCCUUUAUUCGUGAACAGGCUUAGGACAAUUAAUUUAUUUUUUUACUUUAUUUUUUAUUUUGGUUUUAUGUAUGGGCCGGGUGAAUUGGGCCUAUUACAGUCCUCUUGUCCUUCCUCUAUGUCACGUAGGCUUUGCCUAAUUUCUCUUUGGUUUCUACGAGCUGUGUGUUCUAUCUCACUAUCAAAAAGUAAUGGUCCUAGCGGGUUUCUUCUAGUCAUAAACUAUAAAAACCUGUUAGAAGAAAAUAAAAGAAAAUUUAGUAAAAUUAACAAAAAUAAAAUAAAAUUUAAAUUGCAAUAAAAUAAAUGGCUAAAGUAAUAAAAAUUAAACGUUCCUAAUAUUUUAGUUCCCCGGCAAUGGCGCCAAAAACUUGAUUGAACAAAUUGUGAUAAGUUUUGAAUUUAUAAUUGACCGUACUUAAAAACUAACUAUUAUCACGAUGAAGACAAGUACACCUAUCGAACAAUAGUAUAGUUUAUAGCAAGACCGGGAUAUCGAACCCAAAUGAACUAAAAGUACUGGUAUUAACUCUCUUUUUAUUAUCUAGCCUAAAAAAUAAAGGGG